GACAGAGGGUGCAAACGUUGUUCGGAAUUACUGGGCGUAAAGCGCGUGUAGGCAGCCCCGCAAGUCGGAUGUGAAAGCCCUGGGCUCAACCUAGGAAGUGCAUUCGAAACUGCGGGGCUGGAGUCCUGGAGAGGAAGGCGGAAUUCUCGGUGUAGAAGUGAAAUUCGUAGAUAUCGAGAGGAACACCGGUGGCGAAGGCGGCCUUCUGGACAGUGACUGACGCUGAGACGCGAAAGCGUGGGGAGCAAACAGG
rnacentral:rRNA from 1 species